UCAUUACCUAGAGUUGUGGGCUUUGCCUGCUAUCUCUUACCCAUGUCUUUUGAGUACUUACGUUUCCUCGGUGGGUUCGCCCGCCGAUUGGACAAUUUAAACCCUUUGCAGUUGCAAUCAGCGUCUGAAAAACAUAAUAGUUACAACUUUCAACAACGGAUCUCUUGGUUCUGGCAUCGAUGAAGAACGCAGCGAAAUGCGAUAAGUAGUGUGAAUUGCAGAAUUCAGUGAAUCAUCGAAUCUUUGAACGCACAUUGCGCCCCUUGGUAUUCCAUGGGGCAUGCCUGUUCGAGCGUCAUUUGUACCUUCAAGCUUUGCUUGGUGUUGGGUGUUUGUCUCGCCUUUGCGUGUAGACUCGCCUUAAAACAAUUGGCAGCCGGCGUAUUGAUUUCGGAGCGCAGUACAUCUCGCGCUUUGCACUCAUAACGACGACGUCCAAAAGUACUUUUUUACACUCUUGACCUCGGAUCAGGU
rnacentral:rRNA from 1 species